GGGUGCGAUCAUACCAGCACUAAUGCACCGGAUCCCAUCAGAACUCCGAAGUUAAGCGUGCUUGGGCGUGAGCAGUAUUAGGACGGGUGACCCCCUGGGAAUUCCUGUUGUUGCACCCC